UACGUAGGGGGCAAGCGUUGUCCGGAAUCAUUGGGCGUAAAGAGCGUGUAGGCGGCCCGAUAAGUCCGCCGUGAAAGUCCAGGGCUCAACCCUGGAAUGCCGGUGGAUACUGUCGGGCUAGAGUCCGGAAGGGGCGAGUGGAAUUCCUGGUGUAGCGGUGAAAUGCGCAGAUAUCAGGAGGAACACCGAUGGCGAAGGCAGCUCGCUGGGACGGUACUGACGCUAAGACGCGAAAGCGUGGGGAGCAAACAGG
rnacentral:rRNA from 1 species